rnacentral:rRNA from 1 species
UACGUAGGGUGCAAGCGUUGCCCGGAAUUACUGGGCGUAAAGCGCGCGCAGGCGGCCUUCCAAGUCAGUGGUGAAAGCCCGGAGCUCAACUCCGGAACUGCCAUUGAAACUGUUAGGCUUGAGGAUGAGAGAGGUGAGUGGAAUUCCCAGUGUAGAGGUGAAAUUCGUAGAUAUUGGGAAGAACACCGGUGGCGAAGGCGGCUCACUGGCUCAUUUCUGACGCUCAGGCGCGACAGCGUGGGGAUCAAACAGG